CCAGGGGACCGGGCGGCCGCGGUGAGCUUAGGCUCAACGAGGAAAGUCCGGGCUCCACGGAACAACGGUGCCGGGUAACGCCCGGCGGCUUCGUCUUUGGACGGGGUCAGGGAUAGUGCCACAGAAAGCAUACCGCCCGGCUUCGAACGGGUAAGGUCGAAAGGGUGCGGCAAGAGCGCACCGCGUCGCUGGCAACAGCGGCGGCACGGUAAACCCCACCGGGUGCAAGACCGAAUAGGGGCGGCAUAUGGGCCUGUUCCGGCCCCGUCGCCCGGGUUGGUCGCUGGAGGCGGAGGGCAACCUCCGUCCUAGAGGAAUGGUCGCCACCUCGCGCAAGCGGGGUACAGAACCCGGCUUACAGGUCCCCUGGCAUU
rnacentral:RNase_P_RNA from 1 species